GUUAAGAUAAUGUGAUUGCUCUGUUGGGAGAUGCGAUACUAAAGGUAUCAUUUCGAGAGCCCGAAAAGACCGAGCAGAACUGGACAAUCUGAUUUUUUUCUUCUUUUGAUUGAUACAUAAAAAAUAGAAUAACAUUAUGUAGAUGUUUUAUUUAACAGCAUGUAAUCAAAGAAACUACAUAACGAUAUCGCAAAAGUCUACCAGAAGCCAUACUAAUAUUAAUAAUAUAUUGAUUUGUUAAGUGUGUUCAUAGAAUUAUGUUUUCGCUUAUAAGCUGUAACGAAUGCAUUUACUGUGGCCUAAGAGAUCCAGACGUGUUUUUUUUUUGUUUUUUUUUUUUUUUUAAUAGAAACGUUUUCAUACUAACUUGUGUACUUGAUAACAUUAAUUUAAAAAUCCAAUUCACUGGGCGUGAGCUGGGGGGGAAGGAUAAGGCAGAAGAAGUAGCAAGGAGCAGUUAGUAGGACAGGAUGUGUUCACCGACUGGGGCCGACGCUGUCGACAUCCCAGGGGCGGAGGACCCGGCGACCGGAAACAGGAUAGAAAAGAGGUCACCGACUGGGGCCGACGCUGUCGACAUCCCAGGGGCGGAGGACCCGGCGACCGGAAACAGGAUAGAAAAGAGGUCACCGACUGGGGCCGACGCUGUCGACAUCCCAGGGGCGGAGGACCCGGCAACCUGAAAACACAUAUGAGGGUUAUGACUUGGAAAGCCGCCCCUCGGGAGGAGAUGAGAGAGGUACCCAGCAUCUGAGGCUUCUGUAAGGGGCGCUCGUAAAACCCCUGAUUGGCCGAGACAUCACGCUGCCUGGGACCUGAAAAUAAGGACAAAGCAUUGAGGUUAGUAUAGGACUCGCCACGAGUGACCACGUCCUGAAGAGAGGCAGAAUAGAAGAGAGCCUCGAGUGAGAUGAGCGCAGGAGCUGCGACAGAACAGUUUGGCCGGGGGUCCGCUCUGACUCACGUGGUGAGAACCUCUGAAGAUUUCGGCAUUGAUUUCACUCCAUGCUAGAUUGUUGCAGUUCAGAGAACCCUCCUUCUCCAGCACCAAGCUCACAAACUGCAGUUCUGUGUAAUACAAUGGAAAUUGUAUUAUUUUACCUUUCCACCAACAUAUCUUGACUGCUGGCCUCAAACUAUUUAUACAACAUGCCCAACACUUUUAAACAUAUGACUAUCAGUCUGAACUAAUGACUGUAAUUAGUUCUUAUUUUACCAUAUCUUGUACAGCAUUCUUUUUAAGGGCACUUAGAAAUUACUCAUUUCAGUGUACAACAUUAUUUAUUUGCUUUGCUAAACACACAUAAAUGCUUUUAUAUUUUGUAAGUGGUGGGUGGGAGAUUGUACAUGAACAGCAUGGAAAAUACCCACAUAUUUAGAGCCUGUAGCCUAGACAUCCUUAGUUUUAACAACCUAAAACCUUAAAGUAGAGAAAACCUAACCCUAAUUCAUAGCUAUAUCAGCUGCAUGUCCUUAGAAUUUAACAACCAGCCAUGAGAUACAGUACAUUAAGCACAAACACACAAGAUAUAACAUGUAGAUGUUUUGGAAAGUAAAACACACACACACACACACACACACACACACACACACACACACAUUCUCCUUACCUUCAGUCUGUAUUGUCCAAAACAGCAACAACAUUGCACUGAUUAAUUUUUUAAAACACAUUUCAACAGAACUGGUUUACAGGGUAGAGCUAAUAGUUAGAAUAAUACAAUCUACUGUAAUGGCAGAUUCUAAGUCAGUAUAUAAGAAGUUCCUGAAGUGAACUUGUAGUUAUGGGUUUUUAUUAAUUCCAUGACGCGUCUCACUACCACAGUAUUAAAAAGACUGUGGUAGGAAAUAAAGUACACUGCACAACUAUGAUUGGGUGCAUAAGCGGACGCUGGAUAGGUUACAUACGCGCUUCAUGCUAGCUGAUACUAUGCUUGUAAGUUUUACAAUGAAGAAAUUCAUAGUAUUGUCUCAAAACAAAGUAAUAUUAUUGUAAUUGACAUUACGCUAUAUCCAUUCAGACGCUUGAUUACGUCCCAUAUUCUUGUGGCAGUAAAGCAGUCAUUUACUAUCUGUGGUUCAAAUCCUCCAGUAAACCAAGGACUCUGUAUCUUAUAAAUGUUUUAAAUGUUAACACAAAGGAAAACAAAUGACUUUGUUUAAUUUCUGUAAUUUAAUCAAAUUCACAGAGCUACCAUCAUUAUUAUAAAUCAUUUUCAUAUGGCUUCCAAAUCUAUACAAUCUGAGUUGUAUCAAUUUACUUAAUAAAACAUUAUCAAGGAUCAUCUUAUUCUGUGGGGGAGUAUGUGCGUGCUUACAGCAGGACGUGAUCAAAGGGUUCAUAUAAACCUACAGCAGGACAUGAUCAAAGGGCUCAUAUAAACCUUCAUGUUCCAUUCAGUGGGCUGACAGCAACCAGACUGGCUGCCAAACCAAAUCUCACCUCCAUACAAGUCAGUGAGAGGGCUGUAAAGUAUACUCUGUGGUUAUUUGGUUCAGAUUAAUCUAAUACACUUGAUAAAGCUAGAGAUGUGGCAUUCAGAGAAUACGAAGUGUUGAAUAAAUUGAAUGUGUAUUUUCAUUAAAGUCACUAAUGCCCUGUAAACAUUUGUAAACUCUUUUAUCUUCAUUCUGACCAUCUCAUUGGAAAAACAAACACAAGACCCCAAAUGAUCAUACUUAAAACAACUGUGUUCCCGGACCAGUCAAGGUCUGUGACAGUAUUUUACAGCAAUGUACAGUAACUGCACCAAUGAAGACACAAAGCGAAACUUUGUUUAAUUUAUAAUAGGCUUUACUUUAGUAUUUAGAAACACAACAGCAAUGUCUCUAAUAGAAAGUAAUCACAAUGUUUUUCUUUAGAAUGCACUUGUUCUGCACAAAGUUGACAGGAUCGUUCUUUAAGGGUUUUGGUAAAUAAAAAAAAAAAAUUUACAUAGAUUUUCAAGAAUUCAUCAUUACUACACAAGUUCCAAAACCCAUCAAACGGAUAUCGUAGGUUUCAUUUUGGCUCAGUUAUUGGUAACUCCAAACUGAACCCUUUAAAUAAGUUUUCAAAGAUCUUCAUUUUGAAGCUUUUCUAGGACUUCGGUCCAUAUUUUCAUAAAUGGGAUCUUCUGGGUUGUUCUUAGCCUGACGUUUUCUUCCAGGACGUGUGUGCAUGUUGGUGUAAAUGUUUUCCUCUGUAACAGAGCAAUCGGUCAUGACCUCAUUAAAUGGUUAAACAUGUGACAGUAAAAUUAAUGUAAAUGGUUAUAUAUUAUUAGUAAUAUUAUUAGUAGUAGUAGUAGUAUUUAAACACAUUUCCAUCAUAGGGAAAUGUUUAACAGUAAUAUGUUAUAUAUGGUACUUAUUAAAUGUUUAUUCUCAACUUUAACAGUCUCUGGUAAAAUGUAACAUUGUUUAAAAUGCACACUCAGAAAGAGUACUGAUAACACCACUUAUUCUGCUGUGAAGUCAAAAAUGUGCACAUAAGUGACCGCAUGAACAUUCUACUCUACAAGAGAUGGAAGAAGGCACAUUGUAUUAUUUCAGACGGUAUUUUUGAGGUGAAUAUAAUGAUAUUUAGCUCCCUCUGGUGUCUUUUGAGAAGAGGACAACAUAGGAUUAAGAUGUAAUUAUGGUGCUGCUAUCUAUAAUUAAAAUGUAAUUCUACUGUAUGUCAUUAAACAAAGUGGAAUGCAGUUAGUCGAAUAAAUAUAGUGCACUAUCAGCACUUACUAAGAAUGUAUCUAAUUCUACAAACCGUUGAGUUCCCCAUUGUUCUUCCAGUAUUUCAUUUUAAUUAUAAUUGCUGAAAUAAUCAACACUACAGCCGGUGCUACUGUAAUUAUUGCAAUUUGUGAAUCAUUCCAAAAUGUACCUAAAAAAAAAAAAAAAAAAAAAAAACAUUACAAAAAAAAACAAUUAUGGUACAGAAAUGAACAGUGUUUGCUAAAAUAAGGUUAGGGAAAUGCUUUUGAUCUAAUUAGCUGUAACUCUUUUAAAGAGUAAGUAGCGGGGUUCUGAAAAAUAUAGCGUUACACAUCCCCACGUGUUUCUACAACUGUUUAAAUAACUUACCUGUAAUUUUUCUUUUCAUUGUUAACAUCCUGACAACUUUUUACACUUAUAACUUUAAAGUCUGUUUCAAAACUAUUUUCAAAAUGUCUGCUCUAGUGCACUGGGGUUUGAGAUCUGUCCGCUAAAUCACUGCAGGAAGAACGAUAAAAAAAAUUAAUAAAUAAGAAAAUAAAAAAUAACGUGCUCUGGCUUUUCUGUUCCAUACAACACCAUGGAUCGUUAUUGCUGUGUGUUACCUGUUUACACUCCCAGUGCUGUAGAGUGGACAUUUUAAAAAGAGCUUUGAAACAGACUUUAAAGUUUCAAGUGUAAAAAGUUGUCAGGAUGUUAACAAUGAAAAUAAAAAUUACAAGUGUGUUAUUUAAACAGUUGUAGCAACACUUGGGGACGUGUAACGCUAUAUUUUUUUGGAACGCUGCUACUCACUCUUUCACAUAGGCCUAAAAAAUAUACAGUUACCCUACAUCUCAAAUUGAUGCCAGGAGUCUAUAUUUUGCUACACAUCACAGGUUUUAUCUUUGAACUAGGCGAAAAAACGUCUUUCGGUUUCAUUAUACAUACUGUCAGUGUCUGGACUACCUAAUAUUCAAAUCUCUGUGCUUUCUGUAGAGUCCUUUUUGUGUGUAAAUGAGUAAUCAUGUCGCAGUUAGAUCUGAUUAUGUUAUUUGUUCAUCUGAUCAUGCAAAUGAAAUGUACCAACACUCCUAAUUAUUACUGUUUAAACACUUACUAUUGUU